AUUGAACGCUGGCGGCAGGCCUAACACAUGCAAGUCGAACGGUAACAGGAAGAAGCUUGCUUCUUUGCUGACGAGUGGCGGACGGGUGAGUAAUGUCUGGGAAACUGCCUGAUGGAGGGGGAUAACUACUGGAAACGGUAGCUAAUACCGCAUAACGUCGCAAGACCAAAGAGGGGGACCUUCGGGCCUCUUGCCAUCGGAUGUGCCCAGAUGGGAUUAUCUAGUAGGUGGGGUAACGGCUCACCUAGGCGACGAUCCCUAGCUGGUCUGAGAGGAUGACCAGCCACACUGGAACUGAGACACGGUCCAGACUCCUACGGGAGGCAGCAGUGGGGAAUAUUGCACAAUGGGCGCAAGCCUGAUGCAGCCAUGCCGCGUGUAUGAAGAAGGCCUUCGGGUUGUAAAGUACUUUCAGCGGGGAGGAAGGGAGUAAAGUUAAUACCUUUACUCAUUGACGUUACCCGCAGAAGAAGCACCGGCUAACUCCGUG
rnacentral:rRNA from 1 species